rnacentral:rRNA from 1 species
AUACGGAGGGUGCAAGCGUUACUCGGAAUCACUGGGCGUAAAGCGCGCGCAGGCGGCUUGAUAAGUUGGAUGUGAAAGCCUACGGCUCAACCGUAGAACUGCAUCCAAAACUGUCAAGCUAGAGUCUGGGAGGGGAAGAUGGAAUUAGUUGUGUAGGGGUAAAAUCCGUAGAGAUAACUAGGAAUACCAAAAGCGAAGGCGAUCUUCUGGAACAGUACUGACGCUGAGGCGCGAAAGCGUGGGGAGCAAACAGGAUUAGAAACCCUAGUAGUCC